UACAUUUACUCUGCAUCUUUAGUAUAUAUCUUGAUUUAUUUUUUCAGAAAAGAAAGUUUCAGAUUUAUUUGCAAGAAAUACAUAAGCAAUGGUUAUUGGGUUCAUUUUUUUUCUAAUUUGCAAAAGUCUGAAUGUUCCCUUUGCCUAAAUGCCUGAUUUCCAUGCUUAAUUUUCUAGUACACCAUCCCAUGCUUAUUUUCCCCCAUUAAUCUUUUGCAGCAAAAAAAUGUCGGAUGAAGGCAGUUGUGCGGCGGACACGGGUGAUGAGAAACUUCUAACUGAUAGCGAGGAUUCAGCUCAGAGUGGUGUCCGCCCAUUGCCGCAAGCACCAACUUCCUGUAUGUCUAUCAAGCAUGUUGUCGAGGCCAUUCAGACUUUCAACGAGUACAAGCGAUUUCUUGUUAAGAGCAUUGGGUUUGGUGGAAUGCUUGAUCUCCAAAUGCUGCAGAAAUUAAAUCUUAAAUUCAGCGCCUGGACAAUGAGCAAAGUAAGCACCACCUACGGGCCAUCGUCCUGGCUGAGAACAAAAUGCUGCCACUAGUCAACUAUACAUCGACCUCCCACACGAUGCUGCAACAACUGUUUUCGGCCAGAGGAGUAAUGAUCUUCCCGGUCGCAAGUAUGUAUCUCGUCUUGGAUUCCAGACAGACCCCUGGUGCAGGGGAGUUGUCCCGUACCCAUCACAAGCUGGUGUUGCUCAACUAAUUGAACAUCACUUCAUGACCGUUGUAGAUAGCGAGCUAGCGGGGAACUUUAUUGUUCACGAGGAGCCAAGAUUUAUUAGUAUCACGGGUUUUGUCAUACGCGGUCAGCUCGUUGGCAACAACAUAAUUGGUCAUGAACUGAUGUCCAUUCUUUCCGUCGGUUUGCUCAACUUGAUUAUCAAGCCGAGUCCGAGAACCCGUACUUAAGCUGGAGGCACCCAAUUGAACCUGAAUUCUCCGGAAGCUUCUUAGUUCACUACCCGUGACAUCUUCCACCAUUCUUCCAGAUGUAUUAUUUGAAUUCAGUUUUCACUUUAUUCCAUUUUUUGUUUACCAUGCGCCUCGAUGUGCAAGCAGACUCUUGUGUUGUCUGAUUCCGACUUCUUGCACACGGUGUCGAUCCAGAAGUAGCUCUCUGCUGAUUCUCUGAAGUAUGAUCUAACAUCGUCCCAAAUGUUCAUCACUGCAGUCCUUAAUCAAUGUCCUUGAUCCUCUGUAUCACAAAAAUGCAUCGGCUCUUACGCAUAAGGAUCGCGAUCAAGCAACUGCUUGGAAGCUCCACAGUGCAUUAUUCGCAUGCCUCCAUGAAUUCUAUGGCGGAUGGCCAUCGGUCAAGGAAAACUGGCGGAUGAAGCAUGGACCUAUGACAGAUGCCAUAUUUUCCUCGUAAGUGACAACAAGACGUCACUAAUACCCUCAGCUCAAUCAUUAUGUUUUCAAUCUGAACCAUAUGUUUUUUCGCAUUAUUUUCAGCGCUGAGUCAGGUGCAUGCGCCAUACACAUUGCUCGACAGUUUGAUGGGGAGAAGCUUAAUUAAGUUAACACUUAC